CUCUACAGGUUGAAAACGAUACGAUUUAGAAAGAUAGAGGACGCACGCGACGAGAUUGGGAAACUCUGCGCGCGCAUUGCACCUAUUCUUUGUUCGUUUCUCGGUUUUUAAGAGCAUGUCUCGCAUCGGUGCACGGCAAUUAUCGACGUGUGCGUGAAAAUCGACAAGAUCGAGUACCGUUUAUUAUACCAGAAUAUACACGCAUGUCAUCAGUACCAGGGCCUCUCCCUUCCGAAAUAACGACGACGAUUCGGUAACGCUGGUCAUUCGUAUGACACGGAUCAACGAUUUAACAAUCAGCCGAUGUAUAAAACGCACUUACCAGAUAACUAUGACAAUUCAACAACUACGACGAAAGAAUAUAAUUAUCGUGGAUGUUUGGGAAUCAAGAAAUUGAUGGCGUAAAAUUUUUAUUCGGAAAACCGUUUAAUGCUGCAUAAAUUUUGCGCUUCCUUAUGACCGAACAAACGUGUUAAAGUACUGUUCCUUUCAAUUGCGGUGGCCUUGAGCUGCCACAAUGUCCAACGUAUAUCGUGCGAAUGCUUUUUUUCGGGAAAGUCGUAUUUGCGAAACAUACUCAAACGACACCUAUAACCUAUAACCAAUGAACCAUUGCUUCCACUGGCGAUAAAUCAGGCAACCUUCUAACAUAACACGAACAAAUGGUUAACAAAUUUCACAAUACAGGUAUUAAACUGAAAACAACGGUAAAAAUAGGAGAAAUAAGAAAGUGAUUCCGGGAAACAAUAACGGUAAUAAAAAUACGACACUAGCAGCUGUCAAUGCGUGCUGUUUAGAAGCGUAGAUUGUCGUGCGUGUACAGCUGAUAGUGAUUAUGUAAGGUUUGAGCAUACAACGCGUAGCAAAAUACUGUCUAAUGUAAAAUCGUACGAUUAU